UACGAAGGGGGCUAGCGUUGCUCGGAAUCACUGGGCGUAAAGCGCACGUAGGCGGCUUUUUAAGUCAGGGGUGAAAUCCUGGAGCUCAACUCCAGAACUGCCUUUGAUACUGGCGAUCUUGAGUCCGGGAGAGGUGAGUGGAACUCCGAGUGUAGAGGUGAAAUUCGUAGAUAUUCGGAAGAACACCAGUGGCGAAGGCGGCUCACUGGCCCGGUACUGACGCUGAGGUGCGAAAGCGUGGGGAGCAAACAGG
rnacentral:rRNA from 1 species